ACGCUCGACACCUACGGGGGGCAGCAGUGGGGAAUAUUGGGCAAUGGAGGCAACUCUGACCCAGCAACGCCGCGUGAAUGAUGAAGGUCUUCGGAUUGUAAAGUUCUGUGACGGGGGACGAACACAAUGACGGUACCCCGAUAGCAAGCCACGGCUAACUACGUGCCAGUAGCCGCGGUAAUCUGAGCGGGCUGGCAAGGC
rnacentral:rRNA from 1 species